GCUUACGGACUGGUGGAGCUGACGGAGUGGUGGAGCUGGUGGAGCUGACCGACUGGUGGAGCUGACCGACUGGUGGAGGAGAUAAUAAUAACAUGACACCUGCUGACCCACUGAUGAUGGCGUCAGCGAGUAGGACUUGCAUCGCCGUAAAAAGGACUGAGGACUUCAACCGAGGGAAAGGACCGACUGGCUGACGGACUGGUGGAGCUAGUGGAGCUGACGGACUGGUGGAGCUGACCGACUGGUGGAACUGACCGACUGGUGGAGGAGUUAAUAAUAACAUGACACCUGCUGACCCACUGAUGAUGGCGUCAGCGAGUAGGACUUGCAUCGCCGUAAAAAGGACUGAGGACUUCAACCGAGGGAAAGGACCGACUGGCUGACGAACUGGUGGAGCUGACAGACUGGUGGAGCUUGUGGAGCUGACGGACUGGUGGAGCUGACCGACUGGUGGAGGAGAUAAUAAUAACAUGACACCUGCUGACCCACUGAUGAUGGAGUCAGCGAGUAGGACUUGCAUCUAACGAAAGGACUUAGGACUUCAAGCGAGGGAAAGGACUGACUGACUGACUGGUGGAGGAGAUAAUAAUAACACGACACAUGCUGACCUACUGAUGAUGGAGUCAGCGAGUUUAACGAGGACUUGCAUCUUAGGAAAGGACUUGCAUAGAAUGAAAGGACAUGAUCCUGAAGCUGAUGGUAAUAACAAUAAUAAUAAUAUCUGCGCAGUCUGGUCUGGAUCCAUGCUGGUCGCAAACCAACUAUGACAGAAAAACAAAGGUUGCCGAAAAACUUUAACCGAGAAGAGUCACACCGACGUCGAUGCCGGGGCGAGUAGUUAGCCACCCUAUUCUCCGAAUAGUGGAGCUAAAAAAAGGAACUAUUUUAUGCUUGCAUUAUAAUAAGUAAAGUGUAUAGCUACAAUACUUACAGCUAACAAAAUGCAAUGUCACAAAAACAAUUUAUCCACAAUUAAUUAAAUAAACUUUGUUGUUUUUCAUAUAAUAUCUAUUAA
rnacentral:lncRNA from 1 species